UCGAUGACGCUGGCGGCAGGCCUAUCACAUGCAGUCGAGCGGAAACGACAACAUUGACCCUUCGGGUGAUUUGUUGGGCGUCGAGCGGCGGACGGGUGAGUAAUGCCUGGGAAAUUGCCCUGAUGUGGGGGAUAACCAUUGGAAACGAUGGCUAAUACCGCAUAAUAGCUUCGGCUCAAAGAGGGGGACCUUCGGGCCUCUCGCGUCAGGAUAUGCCCAGGUGGGAUUAGCUAGUUGGUGAGGUAAGGGCUCACCAAGGCAACGAUCCCUAGCUGGUCUGAGAGGAUGAUCAGCCACACUGGAACUGAGACACGGUCCAGACUCCUACGGGAGGCAGCAGUGGGGAAUAUUGCACAAUGGGCGCAAGCCUGAUGCAGCCAUGCCGCGUGUAUGAAGAAGGCCUUCGGGUUGUAAAGUACUUUCAGCAGUGAGGAAGGUUCAUGCGUUAAUAGCGUAUGGAUUUGACGUUAGCUGCAGAAGAAGCACCGGCUAACUCCGUGCCAGCAGCCGCGGUAAUACGGAGGGUGCGAGCGUUAAUCGGAAUUACUGGGCGUAAGCGCAUGCAGGUGGUUUGUUAAGUCAGAUGUGAAAGCCCGGGGCUCAACCUCGGAAUUGCAUUUGAAACUGGCAGACUAGAGUACUGUAAGGGGGGUAGAUUUCCAGGUGUAGCGGUGAAUGCUAAGAUCGGAGAAACCGGUGAAGGGC
rnacentral:rRNA from 2 species